AAGAUUUUAAUGAUCGAACAGAUCAAAAAUUUUAAACUUCUACAUUUAAAUUUUAUCUUAAUCCAACAUCGAGGUCGCAAACUUUUUUUUUUAUUUGAACUAAAAAAAAAAAUUACG
rnacentral:rRNA from 1 species